rnacentral:rRNA from 1 species
AGCGGCGGACGGGUGAGUAACGCGUGGGUAACCUGCCCUGUACACACGGAUAACAUACCGAAAGGUAUGCUAAUACGGGAUAACAUAAGAAAGUCGCAUGGCUUUCUUAUCAAAGCUUUUGCGGUACAGGAUGGACCCGCGUCUGAUUAGCUAGUUGGUAAGGUAACGGCUUACCAAGGCGACGAUCAGUAGCCGACCUGAGAGGGUGAUCGGCCACAUUGGAACUGAGACACGGUCCAAACUCCUACGGGAGGCAGCAGUGGGGAAUAUUGCACAAUGGGCGAAAGCCUGAUGCAGCAACGCCGCGUGAGCGAUGAAGGCCUUCGGGUCGUAAAGCUCUGUCCUCAAGGAAGAUAAUGACGGUACUUGAGGAGGAAGCCCCGGCUAACUACGUGCCAGCAGCCGCGGUAAUACGUAGGGGGCUAGCGUUAUCCGGAAUUACUGGGCGUAAAGGGUGCGUAGGCGGUCUUUCAAGUCAGAAGUGAAAGGCUACGGCUCAACCGUAGUAAGCUUUUGAAACUGUAAGACUUGAGUGCAGGAGAGGAGAGUGGAAUUCCUAGUGUAGCGGUGAAAUGCGUAGAUAUUAGGAGGAACACCAGUUGCGAAGGCGGCUCUCUGGACUGUAACUGACG